GACGAACCGUCCUAACGUUGUUCGGAUUCACUGGGCUUAAAGGGCGCGUAGGCGGACUGGUAAAUCCGGGGUGAAAUCUUUCGGCUCAACCGGAAAAGUGCCUUGGAAACUGCCAGUCUCGAGGGGGGUAGGGGCCUGUGGAACUUCGGGUGGAGCGGUGAAAUGCGUUGAUAUCCGAAGGAACGCCGGUGGCGAAAGCGACGGGCUGGACCCCUUCUGACGCUGAGGCGCGAAAGCCAGGGGAGCAAACGGG
rnacentral:rRNA from 1 species